CCUAACACAUGCAAGUGGAACGGUAACAGGGAAAAGCUUGCUUUUCCGCUGACGAGUGGCGCACGGGUGCGUAACGCGUAUACAAUCUGCCUCUUACUGGGGGAUAGCCUUUGGAAACGAAGAAUAAUACCCCAUGGUAUCCAGGUUUCGCAUGGAAUCUGGAUUAAAGUUUCGGCGGUAAGAGAUGAGUAUGCGUUCUAUUAGCUAGAUGGUGUGGUAACGGCACACCAUGGCAACGAUAGAUAGGGGCCCUGAGAGGGGGAUCCCCCACACUGGUACUGAGACACGGACCAGACUCCUACGGGAGGCAGCAGUGAGGAAUAUUGGACAAUGGGCGAAAGCCUGAUCCAGCCAUGCCGCGUGCAGGAAGACUGCCCUAUGGGUUGUAAACUGCUUUUGUACGGGAAGAAACCCACCUACGUGUAGGUGGCUGACGGUACCGUAAGAAUAAGCAUCGGCUAACUCCGUGCCAGCAGCCGCGGUAAUACGGAGGAUGCAAGCGUUAUCCGGAAUCAUUGGGUUUAAAGGGUCCGUAGGUGGAUCGGUCAGUCAGAGGUGAAAUCCUGCAGCUCAACUGUAGAACUGCCUUUGAUACUGCCGGUCUUGAAUUAUCGUGAAGUGGUUAGAAUAUGUAGUGUAGCGGUGAAAUGCAUAGAUAUUACAUAGAAUACCGAUUGCGAAGGCAGAUCACUAACGAUACAUUGACACUGAUGGACGAAAGC
rnacentral:rRNA from 1 species